rnacentral:rRNA from 1 species
GACGAACGCUGGCGGCGUGCUUAACACAUGCAAGUCGAACGGUGAAGCCCCUUCGGGGGCGGAUCAGUGGCGAACGGGUGAGUAACACGUGGGCAAUCUGCCCUGCACUCUGGGACAACACCGGGAAACCGGUGCUAAUACCGGAUACGACCACUACGGGCAUCUGUGGUGGUGGAAAGCUCCGGCGGUGCAGGAUGAGCCCGCGGCCUAUCAGCUUGUUGGUGAGGUAACGGCUCACCAAGGCGACGACGGGUAGCCGGCCUGAGAGGGCGACCGGCCACACUGGGACUGAGACACGGCCCAGACUCCGACGGGAGGCAGCAGUGGGGAAGAUUGCACAAUGGGCGAAAGCCUGAUGCAGCGACGCCGCGUGAGGGAUGACGGCCUUCGGGUUGUAAACCUCUUUCAGCAGGGAAGAAGCGCAAGUGACGGUACCUGCAGAAGAAGCACCGGCUAACUACGUGCCAGCCGCCGCCGUAA